GACGAACGCUGGCGGCGUGCUUAACACAUGCAAGUCGAACGGAAAGGCCCUGCUUUUGUGGGGUGCUCGAGUGGCGAACGGGUGAGUAACACGUGAGUAACCUGCCCUGGACUUUGGGAUAACUUCAGGAAACUGGGGCUAAUACCGGAUAGGAGCUCCUGCUGCAUGGUGGGGGUUGGAAAGUUUCGGCGGUUGGGGAUGGACUCGCGGCUUAUCAGCUUGUUGGUGGGGUAGUGGCUUACCAAGGCUUUGACGGGUAGCCGGCCUGAGAGGGUGACCGGCCACAUUGGGACUGAGAUACGGCGCAGACUCCUAUGGGAGGCAGCAGUGGGGAAUAUUGCACAAUGGUCGGAAGCCUGAGGCAGCAACGUCGCGGUCGGGAUGACGGCCUUCGGGUUGUAAACCGCUUUCGCCUGUGACGAAGCGUGAGUGACGGUAAUGGGUAAAGAAGCACCGGCUAACUACGUG
rnacentral:rRNA from 1 species